CGCGGAGCAGUGUCCCUCGGCGACGCAGAUGUUCACGAAGCUGGAGAAUUCGAUCUCCGAGGGCGACCACUUCGUCUCCUUUUCGCGAGGCCUCGACGCCCUUCGCCCACCACGCCUCGACGUCCUUUACCGUCUCCAACACGUCUUACGUCGUCAUGAGUUGGGAAGGACGAUGCGAUUCCACUUUAUUCGAGUUCGAUUCCUUUUUCGGCGCCCUUGAACCCCUUCAGACACUCCACGAGUCGGGGUACGGGCAUGAUUGGCUCUUUAUUGAAACCAUUGAACAGGCGUUCGUGGUCAUGUCAGCAUCCGAUGAAAACAACAGCUGUAGUCAAAGCAACACGUCGUUUUCGAAAUGAUAGAUGGG